GCUGUGUCAUGUGGCGGACAGCGAUCCUGCCCGUCUAGCUAUACCCAGUUUCAGAAACAUAUACCCAUAUCCAUCCCACUUUAAACCUCACCCCCCUGGAAAAGGAACAUUCAAUGCGUGUUUUGAAAGAUGUGUAAAAAGGUUUUGAGAACGAGGUGUUGAACUCCGCUCGUGGAGUAUGUCAGCUCUCAUGCACACUCGGGAAAAAGGCUAAUGUUUUGAUCUCAGUGCAAGGGAUGCUGCAUCGCCCCGCCUCGAAGGAUUCUCGGCAGGCUGCAGGCGAAAUUUUACCCUCGACAUCAGCUGAUUACUGACCUCCUUCGGCAUCCAGAUCACGUCUUCAUGAUUGCUUGCCGUCUGCAACAUCCGCUACGUUAAAGAAUUGCAGAAAAAUGGUAUGACGAGAGAGAGAGAGAUAGAGAGAAAGAGAAGGAGAGAGAGAGAAAGAAGGAGAGAGGAAGAGACAAAGAGCAAGAGAGGGUAAGAAUCUCGGUGAUUACUGGCGGAAAAUAGAGAGAAA